rnacentral:rRNA from 1 species
AUGAACGCUGGCGGCGCGCCUAAUACAUGCAAGUCGAGCGAACAGAUGAGGAGCUUGCUCCUCUGACGUUAGCGGCGGACGGGUGAGUAACACGUGGAUAACCUACCUAUAAGACUGGGAUAACUUCGGGAAACCGGAGCUAAUACCGGAUAAUAUAUUGAACCGCAUGGUUCAAUAGUGAAAGACGGUUUUGCUGUCACUUAUAGAUGGAUCCGCGCCGCAUUAGCUAGUUGGUAAGGUAACGGCUUACCAAGGCAACGAUGCGUAGCCGACCUGAGAGGGUGAUCGGCCACACUGGAACUGAGACACGGUCCAGACUCCUACGGGAGGCAGCAGUAGGGAAUCUUCCGCAAUGGGCGAAAGCCUGACGGAGCAACGCCGCGUGAGUGAUGAAGGUCUUCGGAUCGUAAAACUCUGUUAUUAGGGAAGAACAAAUGUGUAAGUAACUAUGCACGUCUUGACGGUACCUAAUCAGAAAGCCACGGCUAACUACGUG